rnacentral:rRNA from 1 species
GACGAACGCUGGCGGUGUGCUUAACACAUGCAAGUCGAACGGUAAGGCCCUUCGGGGUACACGAGUGGCAAACGGGUGAGUAACACGUGGGUGAUCUGCCCUGCACUUCGGGAUAAGCCUGGGAAACUGGGUCUAAUACCGGAUAGGACCACUGCCUGCAUGGGUGGUGGUGGAAAGCUUUUGCGGUGUGGGAUGGGCCCGCGGCCUAUCAGCUUGUUGGUGGGGUGAUGGCCUACCAAGGCGACGACGGGUAGCCGGCCGGAGAGGGUGACCGGCCACACUGGGACUGAGAUACGACCCAGACUCCUACGGGAGGCAGCAGUGGGGAAUAUUGCACAAUGGGCGCAAGCCUGAUGCAGCGACGCCGCGUGAGGGAUGACGGCCUUCGGGUUGUAAACCUCUUUCAGCACCGACGAAGCGCAAGUGACGGUAGGUGCAGAAGAAGGACCGGCCAACUACGUGCCAGCCGCCGCGGUAACAC